GCCUUCCUGGGGCUGGUGCAUGUGGCGGGUGUUAGCUGGGCGAGAGCAGCGCCUGGCUGGCAGGUGCGAGUGCCAAAGAGCUCAGGGCUCACCGGGUGGCAGGGCAAGGAGCAGAGGGCCGAGCGGGAGGGGACGGUGAUGGUGGCAGGAGUGCUGGGUCCUGGGUGGGUGAGCCAGGUACUUUUGGGCGUGUGUUACCUGAUGCUGCAAGAGCGAGGGGGUGUUUUUCUUUCGGUAGCUCAGCUGGUAGAGCAGAGGACUGUAGAGCGUUGGGCAAGACAUCCUUAGGUGGCUGAUUCGAGUCCGGCUCGAAGGAACGCCUCCCUUUUGGGGCUUGCAUAGGAAAGCUCUGCACCUGAGGGUGGCAGGGGCAGCUUGCGUGGAAGGUGAGCGCUGCUGAGUUGUGCAAGGGCACACCAAAAGGGCCUACUGCCUGCCUGGGAGGCGCUGCCCCUGCGAAAAAGUCUUCCUCUCUGCGAGCGCAAGGGGAUUAGGCAGCAGGGGUGAGGCUGGCCCACGGGUGGCCAGGAAGCAAAGGGGGAGCAGGCUUGGGUAGCCAGCAGCAGCCAAAGGAAGACCCGAGGGCUGCCGAAGCCCGGGAUCGAUCCAGGGACCUUUAGAUCUUCAGUCUAACGCUCUCCCAACUGAGCUACUCCGGCUGCCAGGGGGCCUGUGGUGGCUCUGGCUGGGCCUUCCUCCCCAGGCCCUGAGCCCAAGGUGGAAGGCUGGGCUUGGGGCUCUGGGCUGCAGGCGCCUGGGCCUCUUGCCUGGCUCCGGGACCUGCGGCUGCUUGGCCAGUGCCCGUGCUUGACAAGGGGAGCCAAGAAGUGGCAAGGCCUGUGGCACAAUUGCCACCGUCUGUGUCCCUCUCCAGAAAUCUGUCUCUGCCAGCGUGAGAGGCUGGUGUUGAAUUCCUCAGGGCGGGGGAUCACAAAAGCCUGGUGCCUCCGAAGAGGAUUCUCUGGUCUGGUCGGUGGGGAGGGGGAGGGAAAAAGCCCCUUCAGGGGCCCAGGUGACCCGUGAUGCUUUGUAAGUUGGUUGGCUAGUGGCCAGCACUGGCAGCUUCGAUUGGCCCGGGCUGCUGAGGUCAGAAAGGUUAUUUAAAGGCCCGGUCCAGGAAGAAGGCAGCCAUUAGCCAUGCGGUCAUCGAGAUGCAUCUGAAACUGGCAGAGGAGCUUCACCAUCUGAAACUGGCUUUCUCCUCAAAGAGUGACCUGCCUCCAGAGCAAAACUGCAACCAGCUCUGGAUGAUGCGGGGCCUGCCAGUGGCACAGGAGACGAGCUCGGAGAGCAAUUUGUUUGCUACCUUGUGGGCGUUUUGGAUCAGCCCUGAGAGGGAGCCUGGCUGAGUCCCCCAAAACAUCUGCUGAGAUACUUAAGAUGCUUCUGGGGGCUGUACCAUGGCAGUACCCACGUCCUCCCAGGAAAAGGAUUUUGGACAGACGACCUCCCGGUGCCCUCCCGAGGGCAUGGACCAAGGAUGAUGCCAUGUCUGGGAAGAAGCCAGGGCAGGCAGAGACAGGAAAAACUUGGAGUCCUGGUCAGCUUUGACCCACUGGGAAGGGGAGGAUCCAGCAUGUCUUGGAGCCAAUGCAAAAGGUAUCAUGUCUGUUAGUGGUAACAGAUUUUCCAGUUCUGCACUCCAGUAAUGGCCCGUGUGAUUCCAGGCAAGAACUGUGCAGCUUGGUGCAGCAUCCGAAAUCUGCUUUCUAUGCCACUGAAGAUGAUUCUACGGCUGUACUAUGGCAGUUCCCACGCCUCUCUGGGAACACGGACUGUGACCCGCGGCCCCCAGCUCCCUCCUGGACCUGGUCUGCAGGACAUCAAGCAUGAAGGAGUGGAUGUGGGGGCUGUAUGAUGUAGGGCAGAAAAUCAGCACCAGAAAGCUACUCCCUCUGUUCUGCCCCUUCCCUCUCCAGCCCUCACCACCCUCCCUGCCUCUCCUUUCCCCCUAUAUAUGAUGUUAGGUUAGGCUAGGUUAAGUUAUAUUAUAUUGUUUUAUUUCCUAUUAUAUUGUAUUGUGGUGAA